AGAGGUACGGCGCACCUUCCCAGUUCCUUAGGGUCGUUCUGCAGUGACCGUGUUCUCCGCAGUGGUUCCAGACCCUGAAGUCAGAUCAGGGACAAAUCAUGUUCUAGACCAUCACUUUGGGAAAUUUUAUUUAUUUAUUCAUGAGAGACAGAGAGAGAGAGAGGCAGAGGGAGAAGCAGGCUCCCAAGGAGCAGGAAGCCCGAUGCGGGACUCGAUCCCAGGACCCUGAGAUCAUGACCUAAGCCGAAGGCAGACGCUUAACCAUCUGAGCCACCCAGGCGCCCUCACCUUGUCUUUAUUUUUCUUCAUAGCUCGUAUUACAUUAUAGAUUCAUGGCUUGUUGAUCUCAGUAGAACAUGUGUCCUGUAUGUGCGGGGACGUGAUCUGUUUUGUUGACCUCUGAGUGAAUACAAUUCACCGUCGUUGAAUUGAGUUAUCAAA